rnacentral:tRNA from 1 species
GCCCUCGUAGCUCAGUGGAUAGAGCACCGGUUUCCUAAACCGGGUGUCGGAGGUUCGAGUCCUCCCGAGGGCG